ensembl:lincRNA
CCCCGAGACGGGGAUUCCCCUCCGCGGGAAUGUCGGAGCCGUGAGCCGCCCCAGCCCACAGCGGCCGGCUACGGCGGAGGGGCGCGCAGCUUCACCCUCAGGGCCCCUCGGCCGCCCGCCCUCGCCUUCCGCUCGGGUGUAAACGGACUGCGAGGGGGGCUCCUGCACACCAUCUCUGGGGAAACCUGCUUUUCCGGGCCCUGAGGCCCUGGGGGAGGGGUGCCCGCGUGCGCCUGUGUGUGUGUGUGUGUGUGUGUGUGUGUGCGCGCGCGCGCGGGUGUGCCGACGCGGGUGUGUAAGAGGGAGGAUGUCGUGGCUCUGGUCCUCCUGCCGCCCGGGCUGGGGGAGGAAUGGGGAUCCCGGAAGGAGGAGCCUCCCCUGCCUGACCCUUCCUGUCCCUCCUCUUUUCGCCCAGGUUCUGGUCUCUUGGAGAUGAGCCCUCUCUGCCUCUCAAGUUCUUUGCCCUCUGCUCCCCAAGGCUGCCCAAGGCCCUCACGCUGGCUGCCACCCCAGCCUCUCUGUCCCCUCAUUCCACCGCCGCAGUAACACCCCACAGGGAAGCACCCUGCGCUCCUCCGCCGUUUUCACCACCACCCGCGGGCGGGCUGCUGCUUCCCUGUUCCCUCCGGACUAAGCUCCUCUUCUCAGCCUGUUGCUGGGGUCCCAGAGUGCCGAAGAGCAGGCGGGCCCCAGGGACACCACACUGCUGCCCUCUGCAGGUAUCCAGAAGCCAGUUUAUCCCACUUCUGCGCCCUGUGGGAACGCAGCCACGUCUUCCCCAUCCUGGAGUUCCCUUGGUGUGCCCCUCCCCUCAGCCCCGGCCUCACAGGUUGCCAUGCCGCACAGGCCUCGCCCACCCAACCCAGCGCCCUGAGGCCUGGUGGGGCAGCUCUGGCAGCCCUGCGCAGGGAUCGGGCGAUUCAGGCAGCAUACAGGGCCAACACUCUCUUCCUUUUCUGCACCAUGGCGCAGGGUCAGGUGAAAAGCAGGCUCCAUGCGGGAAUGUCCAAGCCAUACGCUCUGCCUCAGCAUCUGUGUCGUCAGGAGGAGAAGGUUGCUGUCCACUGCACAGUCUGUGGGGGAAAGGCAGAAGAAAUCCUGGAGAGAGGGCCAGGGUGUGAGAGUAUGAAUUAAGGAAGAAUAAUUUCUCCGAUACUGGAAACCUUGCUUUUGGGAUUCAGGAACACUCGAUGUGGGCAUCACACGUGAGCAGGCACUGGUGCCUGUGGUCUGGACUUCCACAUGGUGCCGGGCAGGCCAGGUUUCAGCCUCGAAGACGAGAGGCCCAGGGCAGGCUGCUCUGCGGCCCAACACCGACUUAGCAAGGAAGAGGCCACGAGCUGGUUCCAGCGGAAGUACGGUGGGAUCGUCCUUCCUGUGAAAAGGCCAAUAAAACGUUUUCAGUGGAAAAAAAAAAGAAUACAGGGGCAGAAAUGCAGCUCGGUCAUAGAGCACACACCUAGCAUGCGUGAGGUCCCAGGUCCGAUGCCCAGCACCAACAAAUAAAUACAUGUGUAUAGGUUUAUACACAGAGACAUAGAUCUGGUGGGAGGGUGAACAGACCUUAAAAGUGUGUGUGUGUGUGUGUGUGUGUGCGCGCGCGCGCGCGCGCCGCUAAACACCUUGCUGAGAGGAGCUCAGUGGGAGAGGCCCUGUCUAGCAUGCUAAGAGCCCUGGGCCCCAUCUCCAGCAAUGCAAAUAAUAAGAGGACAGAAAAAAAAAAUAUUCGGCGCCAUGGCUUUCUGCUUCUCGCUGGCUUCCUCUCCCACUCCUGAGCUGUGAGGCGCUGCUCCAUUGUCUGAACGCCUUAGCCUCUCACGGCAGCGGGAAGAGUCCUCUGAAAGCCAGUCUGGCCCACUGCCCAGCCCAGCCCCUUCGCCACACCCGUGCCUCCGCUUCAAGUACUGCGGCGGCUGCGGGCCAGGCCCAGCCAAUCUCUGUCCACUUGGCUGCAGGCUGGGGCUGUCCCCAGGCGGACACCAGCUCCAUGCCUUCUCAGCACAGCCCCUCGGCAUGCCUCCGUUGCCCUCGGCACAGUGGCUGAGCUGAGAUCAUCCGUGUUUCCUCCCUUUAUCCUGGAGACCCAGCUCCAGACCCAGCACACCGCCAGCAGCAGUGGACAUGUGCAGAGCGAAUGGCUGGACAUGUGUCUGUCCAGAACCAGAACCUUUCUGCCCGAGGGGAGUGGACUCUGGGGCCACCUGCUGCUCGUCCAUUGAUUGUAUCAGGGGCGCCACUUAGAAACGGCCCCCAGAAACAGGAGUUUAGGAAAUGCAGAGUGACCCCAGUCCUCGACCAAAUGUCAAUGUAGCAAAGUUUAAAAAGGUCCCUCAGCAGUGUACCUGUCACAGGGGUGGCUUCCUCCUCCCGGGACGAUGAAAGCAAAGAGCAAACAGAGGAUAUCUCUGUUUGUGACCAAGAACUUCUGGAAGUUGACAAGGAACCCUUUCUUUUGAACUUAUUCUGGCAGCAAACUACCGAUGCAGAAAAGUUCGUUUGAGUUACUGUAAGACGCUGCCAGUGUGGUCAAGAGGGAAUUCUGAGGAGAUCUGCAAUAUCAAAAUGACUUCAAUAUCAAAAAUGACUUCACUGAUGAGGAAGCAAAGGGUACAAAGAGGACCAGUGGUGUGAAGAGAAAAGAAAUGUCGUCCCAACCAGGCAGGGUGACAUAUGCCUGUAGUCCCAGCACUCAGGAGGCUGAGGCAGGAGGAUCACCAGGAGUUCAAGGCCAGCUUGAGCAACAUAGUGAAUCUAGGCUGGGGAUUUAGCUCAGUGGCACAGCGCCUGCCUGGCAAGCACAAGGUCAUGAGUUCGAUUCCUGGUACCAGAAAAAAACCAAAAGAAAAAAAAGAAAACAACCUAGUGAAUCUAGGCCAGCCUGAACUGCAUAGUGAGACAUAGUCUCAAAGAGAAAGAAAAAAGAAAGAGAAAGAAAGAAGGAAGGAACGAAGGAAGGAAGGAAAGAGAAGAGGAAAAGGAAAAGAAGUGUUGUGCCCAAAGCUGUGACACUAAGGCUUGUUUCAAACACUAGCUGCACUGCUCUGUCCGUAACUGUGAACAUUAGGCAGACAGCAGACAAACACAGCUGCACAUCCCGUGUUAGAACGGUGUCGUCCUUGCCACGUGUGCAGUUUGGGCACAGAUCAAAGCGAUGGCUGAGUUUCUUCUGGUUGAACAGAAGUUGCUCUUUUUCUGUAGUCUGGAUAAAAUCAAACUCUGGUUAUCUGCAGAAAGUGACAUCUUGAGCUUUCUUACUUUUUGUAAAGUGACUUCUGCUUAUUG